GAGGAAGACCAGGACGGUUUUGGAGGAGGUGAUCCCGCACUGCCCCAUCACUCCGGCGCCCAUCCGCUGCUGCCCCUCUCCUCUCCGCUCCGCCGCUGCCAGCUGGCCUCCCUGCCUCACGUGACCCCCGGGAAGCUUUUGGCGUCCCUGGGUGGGCGACGAGGCUGCUAUUUAGCCUUGCCCGGACCCCUCCUGGAGGUUGAGGAUUGCGGCGAGAACCGACGCCCAGCGCGCACCGGUGAGUUCAUCGGGGGCCUCGGAGGAGACGCGAUUUGAUCGAUCCCGGAGGGCACAACGGUGCAAUGCACUCAUAUAGUGGAGAAGAAGCUGUGGGCAACGGUGAGGAACCGGUCCCUUGGACAUAGGGGAGGAGCAGCUGCGGGUGACGGUGAGGAACCGGUCCCUUGAAUAAGGUAUACCAAGGAUUCCCAGCCUCUCCCCUUGGACUCUCCCGUCCACUCCUUACAGCCCGGUGACUCUGUGCUUGUUCGUACCUGGAAAGAUGAGCCUCUCCAGGAAAAGUGGAAAGGACCCUAUACCAUCCUGCUGAUCUCCCAUACAGCGGCAAAAAUCGAGGGACACAAGAACUGGAUCCAUCACUCUUGUCUGAAGGCAGUACCCGCCCCCUCGUCAGCAGAACAGUGGACCGUCCAACCUGCUGACUCCUCAUCUAGUAACAAUCUUGGGUUAAAGCUACUAUUUAAAAGACACAAAUAGCGGGGACCUUAAUGCUAAAAUAGGCCCACCCAGGAACUAAAGACCCUGGAUUAAAAACACUCUGGUAAUAAUUAAUUGGGUAACAUUGUUAUUCUCUGCAUUGGUAUUUCCAAACUGUGCAUAUCGGAAUCAUAACUCCUUUGUUUUGCUUGCGCACCAUGUUGCUACUUUAAUAAACCAGAUUGAUUGCUGGGUAUGUGCUCCAACUCCACUGUCCCCCAAAACGGAAUGCCCCUUGACAUGCUGCCCCUGACCCUAGCAGAAUUAGCCGCCACCAAAGAGCAGGAAAGAACGGACUCGCUGUUCUGGAACAAGACUUCUUUACAGCAAGCCACCUAUCAGGACCAGGAGUAUUCAGUUGGAGUACUCACUGAGGGAGUAUUAUGUUUUACCCGAAACCAAUCUGAUCACUAUGGGUGUCCUGUGGGAAAAAGCUCCUGUGUUAUUACACAGUGGGCUGAAGGGUAUUGGAUAAAGACCAAAAGGGGAGGCCAGCAGUGUGGGUGUAAUGGUUCCUCCCCUUUUAGGGAAACUCUUAGAAAUAAUCUUACCACAAAAAAAAAGGUUUGAAAAUAUAACUUGCCGUCCAGUUAAUAUCUCCAAUGUAGCAAGCCAAUGGUGGGUUUGUAGUGGUCCCUAUGGCGAGUAUAAUUUAAAUGGCACAGUUAGAAACGCCCCCGCUUGUACCCAAUCAGAAAAAUGGAAUGCCCCCUUAGGGGCAUAUAAACUGUUUAAAAAAACAGCCAAAGCAGCCUUAAAGAUCCCAGGAAUCCCCUUAAGAAACAGUCCUUACUGGGCCCUACAGGGUCACUAUUUUGUAUGUGGCCAAAAAGCUUACAAGGUGCUGUCAGCCAACUGGACAGGUAGCUGUUAUAUAGCUCAUGGCGUUCCUCAUCUUUCCAUAACUGCCACACUGCCCAAAAAAAAAAAUUAAAAAUGCCCGAAACACCUCUGUUAAGACACACACAAAAAAAACCCUGCGGCAACUAACUAUGGUAUUAAAGGGCAAUGUAAAAAAUUCCCUCACAACUGAGAAGCUUGUAGGGUGCUCUGUACUGGAAAUAGCGCCACUGUUUACCGGGCCAGCCAUGGCAUGCAUAGGCUGCUAUACUGCAAGGCUGCAAAUGUACUUAAAAAAGUUGCCUUAAAGUUAAAGGACUCAGUUAGUAAUUUAGAGUCAGCAAUAAAAACAUUAAAUAAAAAGGUACAGCAGCUCAGGACGUUUUCCCUCCAAAACAGGCUGGCUUUGAACUAUCUCUUGGUAUCCCAAGAAGGAGUUUGUGCCCUUGUCGGGCCCCAAUGUUAUAUAUAUGUAAAUAAUAGCAAUUAUAAAAUCUAUAAAAAGGUGGUACAGGCUAAGGCCCAUGCCUGAGCUGAAGCACAGGUUGCCUAUACUGCCCCCGAGAGCGAUUGGUUGCAAACCUUGUUUUCAGGCUGGGGUUUGUCGUUUUGGCUUGGUGGUUUAUUUAGCCUGUUAUUGAAACUUCUCUUUCCUAUAUUGCUUAUAUUAAUGCUAUUAUGCUGUGCAGUAUCAUGUGUCAGGGCCCUUUUGCAAAAGUUAAUAAGUCAUUCUCUUCAGGGCUAUCACAAAGUGCUUAUGCAAAGUCCUAUUAUAAAAAAAUAAGUAGCCCAAGUAAGAAAACUCAGAGCCAAGGCUGUUGAGUGUUCUCAAAGGAGGGAGUUGUUGGGGACACUGGGGCAUGGCCACUAGGUAACUCGAGGGGAUGGAAGACCACUAGUGUCGAUGAAGCCCCCUCGCACUAGGCCCAAGUGUCCUUGGCCCCCCCGCCUGGAGGCAUUCACAGCAGUUAUGCGUACUAGGCCCAAGUGUCAUUGGCCCCCCCCCGCCUGGAGGCACUCGCAGCAGUUAUGCUGAGGAUCUGCAACAAUAUGUUGCAGAGUCAAACUGCCUGAAACUAAACAAGGCCAAACAGGGCAAAUAUAAAAAAACAAUGCUAAAUAAAGCAGCUUUAUAUAUAGUUUAACAAAUAAUACAAAAAACAAGAAAACUAGCUGGAAACUGAAUUGACUGGCUAUAUGGAUACUUAGGGCAGCUUGCUAUUAAAUAAAUAUGCUAAAAAAAUAUAUAAAAGCCUGUAUAACUUCCUGCUCUGUGUACAAAAUUUAAAAUUCUAUUCUCCCUGUACCUUUUUAAAGCUUCAAAUAAACUUUUCUGCUUCUCCA